CAGCCGUAAACUAUGCGCGUUAGGUGUAUCGGUGACCACGAGUUACCGAGGUGCCGAAGGGAAACCGUGAAACGUGCCGCCUGGGAAGUACGGUCGCAAGGCUGAAACUUAAAGGAAUUGGCGGGGAGGCACCACAACAGGUGGAGCCUGCGGUUUAAUUUGGACUCAACGCCGGGAAGCUCACCGGAUAGGACAGCAGAAUGAUUGCCGGGCUGAAGACCCUGCAUGACUAGCUGAGAGGAGGUGCAUGGC
rnacentral:rRNA from 1 species